rnacentral:rRNA from 1 species
UACGUAGGGUGCGAGCGUUGUCCGGAAUUAUUGGGCGUAAAGAGCUCGUAGGCGGUUUGUCGCGUCGACUGUGAAAACCCGAGGCUUAACCUCGGGCCUGCAGUCGAUACGGGCAGACUAGAGUUCGGUAGGGGAGACUGGAAUUCCUGGUGUAGCGGUGAAAUGCGCAGAUAUCAGGAGGAACACCGGUGGCGAAGGCGGGUCUCUGGACAGUUCCUGACACUGAGACACGAAGGCCAGGGGAGCAAACGGGG